ACGGAGACAAAUCCUAUCGAAAUUCAAAGCGGUGGCUUCGCAUCGAUGGGGAUUUUCGUGGGAGAAACUGGGGACUUUUUGCUCGAACAAGCUCCUUGAACAGGAAUAAUAAAGGAGCGAGAAACAAAGGGCGUGCGAAAACCUUGAAGAAACGGAUUUGAAAUGAAUCUUCUCUAAAUAUAUCCAUCUCUUUUAAAGUUUAUCUUUACGUCGGUGGCCACAAUCUCUUUUGAAACUUUUUUACCCGUUCGAUAUCGACAGCCAAAGGAAGUCAAAUUCGUUAUACGCUUUUUCAAAAAAAGUGACGGCGAGAUUUGUGACGUUCACGAGCUACGAUCGGUUUAAGAAAGAUUCAGAGCUGGCAAUAUUGACUCGAAAGGAGGCCAAUGUGCAUCGAAAACUGCACUAAGGACAAUGGAUCUCCAAUCGUCGCGAAGCUUGGACUUGACCAAAGUUCUUUCGUCCAUUUGGUAUACGAAAUAACGACUUUGAAAUUCUAAUCCCUUAAAGGAUACUCCCUCUGCCCGAAAAGAAUCAAAUAAAAUUAAAAUUAAAUAUAGAAAA